rnacentral:rRNA from 1 species
UAAGGAAUAUUGGUCAAUGGAGGCAACUCUGAACCAGCCAUGCCGCGUGCAGGAUGACGGCCCUAUGGGUUGUAAACUGCUUUUGUACCAGAGAAAACCCCAGUACGUGUACUGGGUUGAUAGUAUGGUAAGAAUAAGCAUCGGCUAACUUCGUGCCAGCAGCCGCGGUAAGACGAAGGAUGCAAGCGUUAUCCGGAUUCAUUGGGUUUAAAGGGUGCGUAGGCGGACUGAUAAGUCAGUGGUGAAAUCUCUCAGCUUAACUGAGAAACUGCCAUUGAUACUGUCGGUCUAGAGUAUAGAUGACGUUGGCGGAAUAUGACAUGUAGUGGUGAAAUACUUAGAUAUGUCAUAGAACACCGAUUGCGAAGGCAGCUAACGAAACUAUAACUGACGCUGAGGCACGAAAGUGCGGGGAUCAAACAGG